rnacentral:lncRNA from 1 species
GGAACACAGCUGUAAAGCUCAAAAACUUUUCAAUUGUUUGAAUAAUGCUAGUCACUUUUGUAAUUUAAUUUAAGUAAAUUUAACCUGUCCCAAUUAGGCCAUGGUCCCUUCAAAUUUCCGAAAUGUGUAUGGCAUUGAGAUGGUUAAUGAAUUCAGUUUACUCAAAGGUAAAUUCAUGGCAAGCUCUUGAAAUGGGCAAGCAGAACUCUUUUCUACAAUUGUGCUAUCAUGCUGGCAGCUCCAAUUUAUCAAGCUUAAAGUAUUGCCAAUUUUGCUGUUCAAAUCUCUAUGCUAGAGUAAUUGGAUUUGCAAACCAGGAACUGGUACCCAACAGCACACCAUCAUGACUACCAUCAUUACUUCUACUACCAUUAACACCAUUUAAUGACUGUACUAUGAACCAGGCACUGUGUGACCACGUCCAGAGUCUCAUUCCCCGGGAAGCAUGCCCUGAACCAAACAAGACGGAGGAUAGAAAAAGGGGCAUCGUUUGUGAUAGCACCGUAGGUGACGGAACUUGAUCCCUGUGGGCUCUGCUUUACCAGGGAACCAGGAGAUGUUCAGGUGAGACAACAGUCUCUGCACCAAUAAUGGACCAAAAUCCGUUUGGUGGACUCUAUGAAUGCCUCCAAAAGAAACACAAAGAAUUCUGUAGAGAAAAAUAGAUGGUGUUGAUACCUGCCAGUCCAAGUAAGUCAAUAUUCCAGAUUUCAUGAAUCAGGUGGUGGUAACCACAAGUUCUCUUGUCAUGUGGCUGAUUAUCCAUGGG